rnacentral:sRNA from 1 species
AAAGAUGGAGGUGUGGGGACAGGAGAUGGGUGUGCUGGGGACUGGCCGCGGACCCCUAACCUAUGUCCCCGGUAUCCCUCCGGGAGCGGCUCAACCCAGCCCAUCGCUCUGGCCCCGUUCUGGCCCUGCAGGGUGGUGGUUGGGACCGUGAAAUGAGCGCGCGAGUGGUACGUCCGCUCUCCGCGCUCACGCCCCCCCCCCACCGUGUUUCCCGCCAGGACCAUCAGCACGUGCCCAUCGACAUCCAGACCAGCAAGCUGCUCGAUUGGCUGGUGGACAGAAGGCACUGCAGCCUGAAAUGGCAGAGUCUGGUGCUGACGAUCCGCGAGAAGAUCAAUGCUGCCAUCCAGGAUAUGCCAGAGAGCGAAGAGAUCGCCCAGCUGCUGUCUGGGUCCUACAUUCACUACUUUCACUGCCUAAGAAUCCUGGACCUUCUCAAAGGCACAGAGGCCUCCACGAAAAAUAUUUUUGGCCGAUACUCUUCACAGCGGAUGAAGGAUUGGCAGGAGAUUAUAGCCCUGUAUGAGAAGGACAACACCUACUUAGCCUCCUGGUUCGGAAUGUCAACUAUGAGAUCCCCUCACUGAAGAAGCAGAUUGCCAAGUGCCAGCAGCUGCAGCAAGAAUACAGCCGCAAGGAGGAGGAGUGCCAGGCAGGGGCUGCCGAGAUGCGGGAGCAGUUCUACCACUCCUGCAAGCAGUAUGGUAUCAUGGGCGAAAAUGUCCGAGGAGAACUGCUGGCCCUGGUGAAGGACCUGCCGAGUCAGCUGGCUGAGAUUGGGGCAGCGGCUCAGCAGUCCCUGGGGGAAGCCAUUGACGUGUACCAGGCGU